AGUGGUUGCUCAGUGGUUAAGCUGUUGGACUUUUGAUCAGAAAGUUGUGAGGUCAAAUCUCAUCACCACUA
rnacentral:tRNA from 1 species